rnacentral:rRNA from 1 species
GAUGAACGCUGGCGGCGUGCCUAAUACAUGCAAGUCGAGCGAACGGACGAGAAGCUUGCUCCUCUGAGGUUAGCGGCGGACGGGUGAGUAACACGUAGAUAACCUACCUAUAAGACUGGGAUAACUUCGGGAAACCGGAGCUACUACCGGCUAAUAUGUUGAACCGCAUGGUUCAAGAGUGAAAGACGGUUUUGCUGUCACUUAUAGAUGGAUCCGCGCUGCAUUAGCUAGUUGGUAAGGUAACGGCUUACCAAGGCAACGAUGCGUAGCCGACCUGAGAGGAUGAUCGGCCACACUGGAACUGAGACACGGUCCAGACUCCUACGGGAGGCAGCAGUGGGGAAUAUUCGGCAAUGGGCGAAAGCCUGACGGAGCAAUGCCGCGUGGGUGAUGAAGGCCUUCGGAUCGUAAAACUCUGUUAUUAGGGAAGAAAAGAUGUGGAUGAAACCCUGCACGUUUUGACGGUACCUAAACAGAAAGCCACGGCUAACUUCGUG